GACGAACGCUGGCGGCGUGCUUAACACAUGCAAGUCGAACGGUAAGGCCCCUUCGGGGGUACACGAGUGGCGAACGGGUGAGUAACACGUGGGUGAUCUGCCCUGCACUCUGGGAUAAGCCUGGGAAACUGGGUCUAAUACCGGAUAUGACCUUGAACUGCAUGGUUCUUGGUGGAAAGGUUUACUGGUGCAGGAUGGGCCCGCGGCCUAUCAGCUUGUUGGUGGGGUAAUGGCCUACCAAGGCGACGACGGGUAGCCGGCCUGAGAGGGCGACCGGCCACACUGGGACUGAGACACGGCCCAGACUCCUACGGGAGGCAGCAGUGGGGAAUAUUGCACAAUGGGCGAAAGCCUGAUGCAGCGACGCCGCGUGAGGGAUGAAGGCCUUCGGGUUGUAAACCUCUUUCAGCAGGGACGAAGCGAGAGUGACGGUACCUGCAGAAGAAGCACCGGCUAACUACGUGCCAGCAGCCGCAGUAACAC
rnacentral:rRNA from 1 species